GGCGAACGGGUGAGGAACACGUGAGAAAUCUGCCUUCAACACUGGGAUAACUCCGAGAAACCGGGGCUAAUACCGGAUAUGAAACCUGCGGGCAUCCGCGGGUUUGGAAAGUUUUUCGGUUGAAGAUGAUCUCGCGGCCUAUCAGCUUGUUGGUGAGGUAAUGGCGCACCAAGGCUUCGAUGGGUAGCCGAGCUGAGAGGUUGAUCGGCCACACUGGAACUGAGACACGGUCCAGACACCUACGGGUGGCAGCAGUAGGGAAUAUUGCGCAAUGGGCGAAAGCCUGACGCAGCCAUGCCGCGUGAGUGAAGAAGGUUUUCGGAUUGUAAAACUCUUUUCUUAGGGAAGAAACCCGCGAGGAGGUAAUGCCUUGCGCUUGACGGUACCUAAGGAAUAAGGGACGGCUAACUCCGUGCCAGCAGCCGCGGUAAUACGGAGGUCCCAAGCGUUGUUCGGAUUUACUGGGCGUAAAGGGAGCGCAGGCGGAUAGAUCAGUUUAAAGUGGAAGCCCGGGGCUUAACCCCGGAAGGCCUUUGAAUACUGUCUAUCUUGAGUAUGUGAUGGGAAUGCGGAAUUCAAGGUGUAGCGGUGAAAUGCUUAGAAAUCUUGAGGAACACCAAUGGCGAAAGCAGCAUUCUGGCACACUACUGACGCUGAGGCUCGAAAGCGUGGGGAGCGAACGGGAUUAGAUACCCCGGUAGUCCACGCCGUAAACGUUGUGCACUAGGUGUAGGAGGUAUCGACCCCUUCUGUGCCGCAGCUAACGCAUUAAGUGCACC
rnacentral:rRNA from 1 species